rnacentral:rRNA from 1 species
CAGCACCUCAAGUGGUCAGGAUGAUUAUUGGGCCUAAAGCAUCCGUAGCCGGCUCUGUAAGAUUUCGGUUAAAUCUGUAUGCUCAACAUACAGGCUGCCGGGAAUACUGCAGAGCUAGGGAGUGGGAGAGGUAGACGGUACUCGGUAGGAAGGGGUAAAAUCCUUUGAUCUAUUGAUGACCGCCUGUGGCGAAGGCGGUCUACCAGAACACGUCCGACGGUGAGGGAUGAAAGCUGGGGGAGCAAACCGGAUUAGAUACCCGAGUAGUCC